GAAACUUAAAGGAAUUGACGGGACCGCACAAGCGGUGGAGCAUGUGGUUUAAUUCGACGCAACGCGAAGAACCUUACCAGGGCUUGACAUCCCCUGACCGCGUAUGAAAGUACGUUUUCACCCUCGGGUGACAGGGAGACAGGUGGUGCAUGGUUGUCGUCAGCUCGUGUCGUGAGAUGUUGGGUUAAGUCCCGCAACGAGCGCAACCCCUACGUUUAGUUGCUAACGCGUGAAGGCGAGCACUCUAGACGAACUGCCGUUGACAAAACGGAGGAAGGUGGGGAUGACGUCAAAUCAUCAUGCCCCUUAUGUUCUGGGCUACACACGUGCUACAAUGGCCGGUACAGACGGACGCAAAGCCGCGAGGUGGAGCAAAUCCGAAAAAGCCGGUCUCAGUUCGGAUUGCAGGCUGCAAUUCGCCUGCAUGAAGUCGGAAUCGCUAGUAAUCGCAGGUCAGCAUACUGCGGUGAAUACGUUCCCGGGCCUU
rnacentral:rRNA from 1 species